CAGGAAGCUCGGGCUGCAGCUAAACCAAGGUUCUGCCCUGCAGAGCCAGAACAUCCUAAUGUUUCAGAACAGAAACAAGCCCCAUCACCAGAAGUAUCUUUCCAGCGGCUUGAUGGUGGGAAACAGUUCAAUCCGUCAUACGAUAAAAGCAAACCAGAAAGCCAAAGUGGGACAAAUGGAAAGACACAUAUCGCUCAGCCCCACACCAUUCCUGGUUAUACUUGUU
rnacentral:misc_RNA from 1 species